AUGUCCCCAAGCGCUCUGCUGGCUCCAAGGGACACUGGGGACACUUCACAGGUGUCCCCAUGUCCCUCCUGUGUCCCCAUGUCCCUCCUGCAUCCCUCAGGUACAUUGGGGACCUUUGGGGACACAGAUCCAAGAUGUCCCCAAGACCCUCCUGUGUCCCUAAGGGACAUUUGGAACCCUUGGGGACACGGAUCUGGAGCGUCCCCACGUCCCUCCUUUGUCCCCAUGUCCCUCGUGGGCACUGGGGACUCCUUGGGGACACAGAUCCAGGUGUCCCCAAGACCCUUUUCUGUCCCCAAGGGACACUGGGGACAGAGAUCUGCAUGUCCCCAUGUCCCUUCCCCCUCCCUCGGGAACACUGGGGACACAGAUCCAGGUGUCCCCAUGUCCCCAUGGACCCAUGGGGACACAGAUCCAGGUGUCCCCAUGUCCCUCCUGUGUCCCCAUGUCUCUCCCAUGUUCCUCAAGGACACCGGGACCCCUUGGGGACACAGAUCCAGAUGUCCCCAAGAUGCUCGUUGUCCCCAUGUCACUCCCAUGUCCCUCAGGGGCACUGGGGACACUUGGGAACACUUGGGGACAUGGAUCCAAGAUGUCCCCAAGACCCUCCUUUGUUCCCGCAUUCUCUGGGGACACAAGGGACACCUUGGGGACACAGAUCGAGGUAUCCCCUUGUCCUCUGGGGACACAGAUGCAGAUGUCCUCAUGUCCCUUGGGGACAUGGAUUCAGGUGUCCCCAUGUCCCUCCUGGUGUCCCCAUGUCCCCUGGGGACAUGGACUGAGGUGUCCCAAUGUCCCUCCUGGUGUCCUCCUGUCCCUCCCGUGUCCCUGUGUCACCUGGGGACAUGUAUCCAGGUGUCCCCUUUUCCCUUCUGUGUCCCCAUGUCCUUAAGGGACAUGGGGGACCCCUUGGGGUCAUGGAUGCAGGUGUCUCCUUGUCCCUCCUGGUGUCACCAUGUCCUUCCUGGUGUCCCCAUGUCUCUUGUGGACACUGGGGACCCCCUGGGGACAUCACCCCCGGUGUCCCCAUGUCCCUCCUGGUGUCCCCAUGUCCCUUAG
rnacentral:lncRNA from 1 species